CAACACAGCAUUUCAUCAUCUAAGCAAUACAAAAGCAGCAACACUCCUUUGUUCCUCUUUAUUCUUCUUCCUAAUUCCUAAAUCUUGGAAACCAUCUUUGUCUGAAUACUGUUUUGUUUGUUUGAUUUAGGUAUCUUAUUCAACAAAAUCUGAGAACCCCUUUAUUCUUUUCUUCAAUUAGAAGAAGCUGACUUGUACUACUUUGAUAAAUUUAAGAAAAAAAGAGAGAAAUUUGGGAAAAUGGAUGACUUUUGGGCUGCAAGAAUAAAUUCAGCUAGGCAAAAUCUUUCUGCUGUACAAACAAACAGGCUCAGCAACUAUGCAGAUAAUGUUGAAGGAGAAGAGGAUGUAAGAGCCUGGUUCCCUUGCCCUUUCUGUUAUGUAGAAAUUGAAGUCCAAAUGCUUUGCAACCAUCUGCAAGAAGAGCAUUGCUUUGACUUCAAAAACGCGGUUUGUCCCAUAUGUGCUGCAACUUUAGGUAAAGAUCCUCUCGGGCAUUUUAUGGUACAGCAUGCACAAUCAGUGAAGAGGAAGAGAAAGUACCUGAAGUCGGGCUUCUGGAAUAAUACUACAGCAAUAAGCGGCAAGGACCCCCACGAAAUAAAUUUGUUCUUCUGCACAAAUUUAGGGGUUGGUCGUUACAAUGUACAAGAACUUGCUCCUGAUCCCCUUCUGCUGCCAUUCCUUUGUGGCGUGACUCCUUCCGAUCCUAAAGACGGUCAAGAUAAAUCUCCUGGUAGUGUUGCUGCUACUCCUGAUGCAGAAAGGUGGUGUUCUUUCCUUCUUUCUCAACCCAAAGCAAGUCGACUUCUUGAGAAACCAAUGUAUGUCAUUCAACGUAGAUUCAGCUUCUUUCUGGUGUAUCAUCUUUAGUGCUCCCAUCAUGUUGUUACAAGAAGACAGCCAGAUCCUUUAAGUGAGUAAAAGAUGAUCAACUGUGGUGAUGAAAGGGCACUGAUACCGAUGGACACAUUUAACAUGAAACAAAGGAGACUCUCUACAUUUAUCAACAAUUGACGCGUCCAGAUCAUGGAUGAGCAAACUCCCAAUAAGUGAUCCAGCCCUGGAAGAAGAGUAUGAACAGAAAAUGCAUAGAGCUACGUUUGUUCAAGAGCUUAUUGCUUCAACUAUCUUCUAAGACGUGCAUAACCAGACACAGCCAUUGGAGAGAACAGCUUUAGAACAUGAUGUAUGAGAAUAAUGGUCCACAGAAACAUAAUAUAUAGAUGUUAUAUGUUUUCCACUA